GAUGAACGCUGGCGGCGUGCCUAAUACAUGCCAGUCGAGCGAACGGACGAGAAGCUUGCUUCUCUGAUGUUAGCGGCGGACGGGUGAGUAACACGUGGAUAACCUACCUAUAAGACUGGGAUAACUUCGGGAAACCGGAGCUAAUACCGGAUAAUAUUUUGAACCGCAUGGUUCAAAAGUGAAAGACGGUCUUGCUGUCACUUAUAGAUGGAUCCGCGCUGCAUUAGCUAGUUGGUAAGGUAACGGCUUACCAAGGCAACGAUGCAUAGCCGACCUGAGAGGGUGAUCGGCCACACUGGAACUGAGACACGGUCCAGACUCCUACGGGAGGCGGCAGUAGGGAAUCUUCUGCAAUGGGCGAAAGCCUGACGGAGCAACGCCGCGUGAGUGAUGAAGGUCUUCGGAUCGUAAAACUCUGUUAUUAGGGAAGAACAUAUGUGUAAGUAACUGUGCACAUCUUGACGGUACCUAAUCAGAAAGCCACGGCUAACUACGUG
rnacentral:rRNA from 1 species